CUUAGAAGCAGCCAUCAUUUAAAGAAAGCGUAAUAGCUCACUGGUCGAGUCGGCCUGCGCGGAAGAUGUAACGGGGCUAAACCAUGCACCGAAGCUGCGGCAGCGAACGUAUCACUUAAAGCGAUUCAGCGGAUGACGAUUGACGGAGCGAAGCGACGUCAAAGCGUAUACAAAGUCGAGUCGGUUUAAGGAUACGUUCGUUGGGUAGGGGAGCGUUCUGUAAGCCUGUGAAGGUGGCCUGUGAGGGUUGCUGGAGGUAUCAGAAGUGCGAAUGCUGACAUAAGUAACGAUAAAGCGGGUGAAAAGCCCGCUCGCCGGAAGACCAAGGGUUCCUGUCCAACGUUAAUCGGGGCAGGGUGAGUCGACCCCUAAGGCGAGGCCGAAAGGCGUAGUCGAUGGGAAACAGGUUAAUAUUCCUGUACUUGGUGUUACUGCGAAGGGGGGACGGAGAAGGCUAUGUUGGCCGGGCGACGGUUGUCCCGGUUUAAGCGUGUAGGCUGGUUUUCCAGGCAAAUCCGGAAAAUCAAGGCUGAGGCGUGAUGACGAGGCACU
rnacentral:rRNA from 1 species